AAACCUAGUAGCACCUCAUCAGCUUCUUUGUCUGCCGGAGAAGUUUUAAAAUGAGCGAUAGAAAUCAAGUCAACCAUACUAAAAAUCCUCAUCUUUGCAGGUCCUCGCAUCGCACGUCCUUUUCUCACAAGCCAGCAUCAGCAUCAGCAUCGCAAGCCUCCUCAAUGGCACAGCCUAGCAACCAUUUUGUCAUAUUAUCAUUCAUCAUUGUUUCACUCUCAUAUCUAGCUUCCUACUAUUUUUGCCAUUAGUUGACUCAUUGCGUCCUCUUGGAUUCACUCUCAAGACCUUAUUUGAUCGAGAAUAAGUAAAUUAAAAAAAUAACACUUUAACUCUUAACUCUUGUGUGUUAGUACUUUCUUCUAUCCUUUUGCUUUUAUUGCUUUCGUUGUGUUGAUUGUUCAACUUUGCUUAAAGAGGUGUAAAGCUAACUUAAUCGUGGGAGAAAGUUAAAUGUCGCAAGGAUUCUUGGUGCGGCGAUUUACCAAGCUCACUAGUAAGAAAUGUAAUAAGUUGUAUCCUGAAAUAUUUAAUUUGUAUGCCAAAUACAUUUAUAUCAUAUUUUCUAUCAACCCUUUAAGUAAAUUUAUUAAAUGCAUACUUGUGAAAUAUAUUUUCUAUGGAUCAAGGGAUUGGCUAAAUCUAAUUUCUUUUAAGCCUACUCUUUAUAUAGUUUUUGAAUUUUAAUUUCAUAUCUAUAAAUUUAUUGUGUUGAAAUUAAACGAAAGUAAAUUUUAACUUUUUGCUACGAAAAAGUGAAUACAAAUUUACAAUAAAUAUGAAUAUAAUUAAAAAAAUUUAAUUAAAUUUAAUUCAUUUGUUACCCAUUUUAAUUUAUUUAGUUCAAUUUGGUUCCAUAUCUCAAGCUAAAACUAUUACAUUUUGUUUUCCUUGCAUACUUUCCCUUUAUAAUGUAUUUACUAUAUUUAAACAUUAUGAACAUUAAAUGAUUUGGAGUAAGCAUUGGCUGGAUCAAGCUUAAGAAAGCAAUAAAAAUUGAAAAUUCAAAUUUUCAAGGAAGAGACAAAACAUUUAAUAUUUCCUCUUAAAGACAAUCACGCUCAGCAAUCAGCAUAAAAACAUCUUUGUACGAAACUAAGCUCACCUAAUAAAUUUCUAAUACAAAUCAAUAUAAACAUAAACUCCGUCUCGAUCAAUUGUUUAUUUUAGAAAAUUAAUUUAUUUACACUGUUCUAUAUAAAUUUAUAAGAUAAAAUGAUGGAAAUUCCCAUAAAAACACAUAUAUUUAUAUUACUGAGUCUAUAUAAAUUUAGUCUACAUAAAAAUUACCCUCAAUUUUAUAAUAUUAGAGUGAUCUCUAAAUAACUCCCAUGCAGAAGUUGGACAUCUGCCUUUAAAAAAAUUAGUUGAAAUAUCAUAUAUGAUAUUUACUUUUUUUUUAAAACUGAAAAUCUAAGUUGAAAAAGAAGUAUAUAUUUUUUUAAUUUAAAUAUGAAAAAAAAUGAAUGAAAAAUUCUUACAAAUUUGUCGAUAUCAAAACCCAAUUUAUUUUUUUGAUAAAAAGAAGAAAGAUACCCAGGUUUUUGUCCAAAGUGCAAGUAAAACCUCGGCAGUCACUAGACUUCUGAAAUUAUUUUCCUUGCAUGAAAACAUGUAAAAAUCAUUGCUCGGGAAAAGCAAAAAUCCAUGCUUCAUUUCUUUGUUCGAUUGACAUAUGAAGAAAAUGUAAAAAUGCUUCCAGUUACCUGUCUUGAAAUGGAGAGAUAAUCUUCAAUAUUACACAAAUAUUACAAGAGUAUUUGAAAUUCACUACCAUGAAGAUUAUAUUCACAAGCUAAUACAUGAGGUCGUCAAUGUAAGGAGUUCAAGAAAGCUCAGGAGGGACAAAUUAAAAAGUAAAAUAUGAAAUAAAUAAUAAAAAUAAAAUAAAAUAUUAAAUUUAUAAAUAAGAAAGAAAAAUAUUAAAAGUCCUGCAAGGUCAAGAAAAAAAAAAAAAAGAAAAAGAUAAAAGCUCAAUCAGAAUAGCACCUUAAAACCCUAAUUUUUUUUUUUUUGCUUUAUUCUCCAUCUAUGGUGAAUGCCAUAGUGCUGAUAUUGUUUCUUACAAACUUCAACAGACGAACAAUGAUGUUUGUCCGAUUCCAUGCAAAAGAAGCUCGUAACCCAGCAGAAAUAGAAGAGGAUAUACGAGAAAGAAAUGAAAGAGAAGCAAUGAAGUCGAGCGAAGUGAUAGAAAACGGCAGAAAGAGAUUCGUAAAUUUGUAAAGGAAGAGAAGAAUGGAAUUUAUAUAUAGAGAGAAAGUGUCUGAUUAUAGAAGAACCAAAGAGCAUGAAUAAGCAUAAUGGGUACUCUUUUUUCUUUCUUUUCAGUCUGUAAUUUUCCGAGAAAGUGUAGGAU
rnacentral:lncRNA from 1 species